rnacentral:rRNA from 1 species
UACGUAGGGUGCAAGCGUUGUCCGGAAUUAUUGGGCGUAAAGAGCUCGUAGGCGGUUUGUCGCGUCUGCUGUGAAAACCCGAGGCUCAACCUCGGGCCUGCAGUGGGUACGGGCAGACUAGAGUGCGGUAGGGGAGAUUGGAAUUCCUGGUGUAGCGGUGGAAUGCGCAGAUACUCGAGGAGAACACCGAUGGCGAAGGCAGAUCUCUGGGCCGUAACUGACGCUGAGGAGCGAAAGCAUGGGAGCGAACAGG